ACCUACGGGGCGCAGCAGUAGGGAAUCUUCCACAAUGGGCGAAAGCCUGAUGGAGCAACGCCGCGUGGGUGAAGAAGGUCUUCGGAUCGUAAAACCCUGUUGUUAGAGAAGAAAGUGCGUGAGAGUAACUGUUCACGUUUCGACGGUAUCUAACCAGAAAGCCGCGGCUAACUACGUGCCAGCAGCCGCGGUAAUACGUAGGUGGCAAGCGUUAUCCGGAUUUAUUGGGCGUAAAGGGAACGCAGGCGGUCUUUUAAGUCUAAUGUGAAAGCCUUCGGCUUAACCGGAGUAGUGCAUUGGAAACU
rnacentral:rRNA from 1 species